rnacentral:ncRNA from 2 species
UGCAAGGCCGCCGACCGACGGAAUAGCGUGGGGUUUACCACGGGGGACGCGGCAUAACAGCUUGCUUUUUAAGCCGACCGUCUGGGCUGCAUAC